rnacentral:sRNA from 1 species
AAAGCAAACCCAAGCCAUUAAGUAACACCCGGCAACUCAGUCCCUCCGCCGGCAACACUACCUGAAAAAACAGCCGGCCACCCAGUAGUCAGUACAUCACUACCAGUAAAAACACAUCGGAGAAUUUGAAUAAUGGCCGGAGCAAAAAAAGAGAUAACGAUCAACGGAGGAAACAUGAUGUCAAGAAGAGUAGAAUAUGGGAGACCAAUUCCAAAGAGAGGGCAAGUGAAGGUGACCAUAGUGUUGGGAUUAGCUCACUCUUUGUCUUCUAUGUUCUCCGUCGGUGGCCGUUCUCAAUCUUGCCGGAGAACUACCCAUCUCUCCUGAGCGAGUGAAGAGAAAGUACCCAGUUUUGGUAAAUUUAGAUAGUGUUGGAGGGUAUAGUUGUCCUUCUAGAGAAUCCUGAGCUUAAUCUUUAGUUUGUUCUGUACAUAUGUUUCUGAUUUUUCCUAGUUCUGUCUUGUAUAAUUUUGGAAGUUAAAUUUUCAAUCAUCUUCCAGAGUGCUGCAGCUUCCUUUUGUUUUAAAAUCCAUUCUCCAUUGAUUUGAUGAUUCAUUAUUCCAUCAACUUUGCAUACUCUUCUGCAACUAAUUCUGUACAUAAGAGUGACCACAAAGGAAUUAUGAUGCUAUAUGAAUAACAACUGUUAGGAAGCUUGGAGAAGAAAGUUUUGGAAUUGAAGAAUAGCUAAAUGAGCUGAUGAAGAACAAUACAACCGACUAUAUACAUCUCUUAACUAACAAUUAGUUACUAACUAACUAAAAUAACUCUAGCACCCCUAACUUCUACGAUGUACAUUUAGGUCUCCAAAUCUUAUACAUUUAACUAUAUAUUCCAAUACUUCCCCUCAAGCUGAAGGGCGUAGAAUGUUUAACACACCAAGCUAGCUAAGUAGAAACUGAUGCUGAGGUGAUGCCAAUCCUUUAGUGAGAAUGUCUGCUUGUUGAUGUUGUGUAGAUACGUAUUGUGUUGGCAGUAUCCCUUGCUUGAGCUUUUCCCUGAUGAAAUGACAAUCUAAUUCAAUAUGCUUUGUUCGUUCAUGAAAUAUGGUAUUAGCAACUAUUUGAAUUGCUGCCUUACUAUUUGAGAAUAAGAGAACUGGUUGGUGAAUUGGUGUCCCUAGUUCUGCAAACAGUCCCCUCAACCACACAAUCUUAGCUGUGCAGAUGCCAUACUCCUGUAUUCAGCUUCAGCACUACUGCGAGAGACUGUGUGUUGCUUCUUUGACCUCCAAGAGAUUAAGGAAUCCCCAAACUUAACAAGGUAACCACUGACCUGGCUCCCGUUUGAGGUACCUCAUCACACGAGUAGCAACAUCCAUGUGAGAUCUUUUUGGAGCUUGCAUGAACUGACUUAAGACUUGUACUGCAUAGCUAAUGUCUGGUCUAGUGACUGUGAGAUAUAAGAGUUUUCCAAUCAAUUUCUGGUAACUUGUGGC